UACGUAGGGUGCGAGCGUUGUCCGGAAUUACUGGGCGUAAAGAGCUUGUAGGUGGUUUGUCGCGUUGUUCGUGAAAUCUCACGGCUUAACUGUGAGCGUGCGGGCGAUACGGGCAGACUAGAGUGCGGUAGGGGAGACUGGAAUUCCUGGUGUAGCGGUGAAAUGCGCAGAUAUCAGGAGGAACACCGGUGGCGAAGGCGGGUCUCUGGGCGAUACUGACGCUGAGGAGCGAAAGCGUGGGGAGCGAACAGGAUUAGAACGUACCGACGUAGAUCCA
rnacentral:rRNA from 1 species